GCCUGGGUAGCUCAGUGGUUGAGUGUCUGCCUUUGGCUCAGGUUGUGAUCCCGGAAUCCUGGGAUCGAGUCCCACAUCAGGCU
rfam:Canis lupus familiaris chromosome 15, whole genome shotgun sequence.